rnacentral:lncRNA from 8 species
UUACCCAAAUGUUUUCCUUUUUAUCCACCCGCCCAGUAGGUGACGGAAUGCACAUUUAAUUGUUGUGAACGCCAUUAUACCAUAGAAGAAGAAGAAGGAGGAGGAGGAGGAGGAGGGGGGACAGCGACAUCAACAUCUGGUCAUUCAUUGAUUUUCAUUCAGUCAGAGAGAGUUGUUGUGAUUUCUCCUCUGUGUGUGUAAACUUUUUCAUUUUCUCCUCUCAUGAUGCUGACGACUCGGUAGAGAAUAUGCCUCUCAGAAUACCUGAUUCCAGACCACGAGACUGAUGUACUUUGUGAAAAUCCAGGGUUUGGGUGCUGUGGUCAGUGGAAUUGCAGCGUGGACUCCAACAUACUGGUAAGUUGUGUUUCUGAAACUGUCCCAAAUGGCACCCUCUAUAGUGCACUACUUUUGACCAGAGCUUUAAGGACCCUAGUCAGAAGUAGUGCACUAGAAAGGGAGGUCUUUCCCAGAAUAACAAUCGUUCUCUGCAACCACAUGAUAAACCUUUUGGAAUCUCGUUUGUCUGAAUUCCUGUUGAUGUUAAAUGACCUGACACCCUGCUGAGUAGUCUAGUUAAAUGUCCUCUACAUUUUUUUUGUUUGUUUUACAGUUGACUGUCCUGAAACAAGAUGGCUGUUCUGGGCUGCUUUUAAACCUCUACAGGAUCAGUGUCCUGAAAUCUGGACAGCUGCUGCUCAAUAUGUGACUAGAAAGGCAUUCUAAACAACAGCCAACUUUCCGGGACAUCGACAUGUCUUAUAUCGUCAGAAAGCUUAAAUAUUUGUUAAUCUAACCGCAGUAUCUAAUAUACAGUAGCUAUUCCAGUGGGACAAAAUACCAUGCUAUUGUUUGGGGAUAGUGCACAACAACAAAACGCUUAUCAAUGCUACUUGUUUGAUACAUUCACCUCUGACAUAUUGGCUACACAACACGUCAAUUAGCCUAAUGAAGGUAAGCCGUCGUUAGGCACCAAUGAGACCAGCGGUGUCCACUUGAUUGACAGUCUUGGUUCAAGGACCACAUAUCAUUUUGAAACCGAUCUAGCUAGAUAGCCAAUGAGCUGGGCUUUCCAGCAGCAUGUGAACGCCUUUUGUACUACAAACAACCAUCAUGCUAGAGCAGUGGGCAACAGUGUUCAUUCUCUGGUGAAAGCAAACAGGACUCACGGUAGUUAAUGAUACGCAGUGGUUCGUUCUCUUCUACAAACUUUU